UACGAAGGGUGCAAACGUUGCUCGGAAUUAUUGGGCGUAAAGCGCACGUAGGCGGCUUGGCAAGUCGGAUGUGAAAUCCCUCGGCUCAACCAAGGAAGUGCAUCCGAAACUGCUGAGCUUGAGUACGAAAGAGGAUCGCGGAAUUCCCGGUGUAGAGGUGAAAUUCGUAGAUAUCGGGAGGAACACCGGUGGCGAAGGCGGAUCUCUGGGCCUUACCUGACGCUCAGGUGCGAAAGCUAGGGGAGCGAACAGG
rnacentral:rRNA from 1 species